rnacentral:rRNA from 1 species
UACGUAGGGCGCAAGCGUUAAUCGGAUUUAUUGGGCGUAAAGGGUGCGUAGGCGGUUAUUUAAGUUAGAUGUGAAAUUCCCGGGCUUACCCCGGGACCGGCAUUUAAUACUGGAUGACUAGAGGUUAGGAGGGGAGAACGGAAUUCCACAAGUAGCGGUGAAAUGCGUAGAUAUGUGGAAGAACACCGGUGGCGAAGGCGGUUCUCUAGCCUAAAACUGACGCUGAGGCACGAAAGCAAGGGGAGCAAACAGG